rnacentral:tRNA from 1 species
AAGAAAUUAGUUUAAGUAAAACAUUAAUUUGUCAAGUUAAAAAUACUAGAAAAGUAUUUCUUA